GACGAACGCUGGCGGCGUGCCUAAUACAUGCAAGUCGAGCGGACUUUCAAGAAGCUUGCUUUUUGAAAGUUAGCGGCGGACGGGUGAGUAACACGUGGGCAACCUGCCUGCAAGACGGGGAUAACUCCGGGAAACCGGGGCUAAUACCGGAUAAUAUCUUCCUUCGCAUGAAGGAAGGUUGAAAGGCGGCGCAAGCUGCCGCUUGCAGAUGGGCCCGCGGCGCAUUAGCUAGUUGGUGAGGUAACGGCUCACCAAGGCGACGAUGCGUAGCCGACCUGAGAGGGUGAUCGGCCACACUGGGACUGAGACACGGCCCAGACUCCUACGGGAGGCAGCAGUAGGGAAUCUUCCGCAAUAGACGAAAGUCUGACGGAGCAACGCCGCGUGAGCGAAGAAGGUCUUCGGAUCGUAAAGCUCGGUUGUCAGGGAAGAACAAGUACCGUUCGAACAGGGCGGUACCUUGACGGUACCUGACCAGAAAGCCACGGCUAACUACGUG
rnacentral:rRNA from 1 species